rnacentral:misc_RNA from 1 species
GAAAUGCGAUAAGUAAUGUGAAUUGCAGAAUUCAGUGAAUCAUCGAAUCUUUGAACGCACAUUGCGCCCGCCAGCACUCUGGCGGGCAUGCCUGUUCGAGCGUCAUUUCAACCCUCAGAACCCCUUGCGGGAUCUGGCGUUGGGGAUUGGCAUCCAGCCAGCCCCGAGAUCUAGUGGCGGUCCCUCCGCGACCUCCCCUGUGCAGUAGCGAUACCUCGCAGCGGGACAGCGGUCUGACCACGCCGUAACACCCCCAACUUCUCAAGGUUGACCUCGAAUCAGGUAGGAAUACCCGCUGAACUUAAGC